GACGAACGCUGGCGGCGUGCUUAACACAUGCAAGUCGAGCGGAAAGGCCCUUCGGGGUACUCGAGCGGCGAACGGGUGAGUAACACGUGAGUAAUCUGCCCUUGGCUUUGGGAUAACUACCGGAAACGGUGGCUAAUACCGGAUACGACAACCGUCUGCAUGGGCUGGUUGUGGAAAGUUUUUUCGGCCAGGGAUGUGCUCGCGGCCUAUCAGCUUGUUGGUGGGGUAAUGGCCUACCAAGGCUUCGACGGGUAGCCGGCCUGAGAGGGUGACCGGCCACACUGGGACUGAGACACGGCCCAGACUCCUACGGGAGGCAGCAGUGGGGAAUAUUGGACAAUGGGCGGAAGCCUGAUCCGGCAACGCCGCGUGAGGGAUGACGGCCUUCGGGUUGUAAACCUCUUUCAGUACCGACGAAGCGCCGAUGAUGGUGGUGACGGUAGGUACAGAAGAAGCACCGGCCAACUACGUG
rnacentral:rRNA from 1 species